rnacentral:tRNA from 1 species
GCGUCGGUGGUAUAACGGUCAGCAUAGCUGCCUUCCAAGCAGUUGACCCGGGUUCGACUCCCGGCCGACGCA